rnacentral:misc_RNA from 1 species
GAUGAAGAACGUAGCGAAACGCGAUAAGUAAUGUGAAUUGCAGAAUCCAGUGAAUCAUCGAAUCCUUGAACGCACAUUGCGCCCGCCAGCAUUCUGGCGGGCAUGCCUGUUCGAGCGUCAUUUCAACCCUCGACCUCCCCUUGGGGAGGUCGGCGUUGGGGACCGGCAGCACACCGCCGGCCCUGAAAUGGAGUGGCGGCCCGUCCGCGGCGACCUCUGCGCAGUAAUACAGCUCGCACCGGGACCCCGACGCGGCCACGCCGUAAAACACCCAACUUCUGAACGUUGACCUCGAAUCAGGUAGGACUACCCGCUGAACUUAAGCAUAUCAAUAAGCGGAGGA